CGGACGGGUGAGUAACGCGUGGGUAACCUACCCUGUACACACGGAUAACAUACCGAAAGGUAUGCUAAUACGGGAUAAUAUAUUUGAGAGGCAUCUCUUGAAUAUCAAAGGUGAGCCAGUACAGGAUGGACCCGCGUCUGAUUAGCUAGUUGGUAAGGUAACGGCUUACCAAGGCGACGAUCAGUAGCCGACCUGAGAGGGUGAUCGGCCACAUUGGAACUGAGACACAGUCCAA
rnacentral:rRNA from 1 species